rnacentral:rRNA from 1 species
GACAGGUGCUGCAUGGCUGUCGUCAGCUCGUGUUGUGAAAUGUCGGGUUAAGUCUCGCAACGAGCGCAACCCCUAUCUUUAGUUGCCAGCAUUAAGUUGGGCACUCUAGAGAGACUACCCGGGUUAACCGGGAGGAAGGUGGGGAUGACGUCAAGUCCUCAUGGCCCUUAUGCCUUGGGCUACACACGUAAUACAAUGGUACACACAAAGGGACGCGACCCAGCGAUGGUGAGCAAAUCUCAAAAAGUGUGCCUCAGUUCGGAUUGGAGUCUGCAACUCGACUCCAUGAAGUUGGAAUCGCUAGUA